AGGCCUACCAGAGUAAGCAUGUAACAAUGUAAGUGCAUGCAAUCACGGCAAAACAAAACCACAAAGCAUUUGUGCCAAGUUUUAAAGUGUACAAAUGCAAAACCUAAAAAUUAUUAACCUAAAAAUGCUGGUUUUCAUAGCCUUCAUACAAAUCUGCUGUGGUUGCCCACAAAUAAACGUGAUUUCUCAGUAAUGUCAUGCUUAACAGAAUAAAAAUGAUGCCUUAAAAAUGGCUGAUAGCUGGUGUUGAAGGAAGAAAAAAAUGAACAUAGCUUCUGAUUCUAUGCUUCCCUCUUGCACUGAUAUUUUUGUGAGUUUCCUGAUGAAAUAUCUCUCCUAAAAGAUGUUUUCACUUCUCCAUCUUUUUUGUGAGAGAUCCAUUCAAAUUUCCAUGGCUUGUCAGAUUAACAUUAACAGAUGCUAACAUACUGUUAAAUUCAGGCAGUGAGCAAACUGAAAUAUGUUUUUAUUUCUGUUGUCAUUUUUCAAUGCCUUUUCAGAUGGUCUGACCCCAAAGUUAAAUCUAAGUGUAAAACAAUUAUUAUCUGAAAGUUAAAUCUUGUAGCCAUGUUAAUAUACAGCCUGCAAUGCAUAUCUUAUAUUCUAGAACAAAAAAAAACCAACCGUGUGUCCAAAUAUUCAUAAAUCAUCUUUGAUUUUACCAAGUUAUUGCUAAAUAUCUGAAAGGACUGACAUGCAAUAGGCAGUUCAGUGAAUUCAGUUUUAGAAUACCCAAUAAAUGCAUCCCUGGCGCAGUAGAAUUCAAGUUCAUAAGUGCUUUGUUCAGUCAACCUCCUUCUAGAUUAAAAUAGAAAGUGACUGACUUAAAUAAAAUUCUUGUAUAUAUUCACUUCAGUGUUAGAGAUGAAAGGUAUUACUGAGGGUGCCAAUAUACUGGGGAUGCUUAUUACAGCUGCUUGUGCCUAUAAGUGCCCCAAAUCGUGACUGAAUGACACUGAUGCUGUAUGUUUUUUUCAUCUUCUAUGGGAGGACUGUCUUAUGAGUGUUAGCAGUUAGCAGACUUAAGUUCUUUGAACUGUUAGUCAUCCUGGAAAUUCAUUGAAAAAGAUAUUUGGGGCAUAAGUGUUUUCAGACCUACUUUCUGAAUGGUAAGGCUGAAGAUCCACUCCAGUUUUUAUACCAAUGCACUUGCGGUUGCCACGUCUGUGCAGUGCCUAAACACUUCUGAGUCAUGACACUCAGUGAUUUUGUAUUCUGCUAUCUCUAGCUCCCAGAGAUGUGACUAGAUAAGAAUUGUGGUCUUAGUUUCUCUUUUUUGGGAAAAAAACCCUACAUGUGUGGUUUAUAAUGUAGUUUAACCUAAUACCAGUUACCAGUGAAAAAGAUAGGAUGAAACUUCUAAAAUUCACAAAAAACCCCUCUCAUCUGACCUCUUACUAUAUCAGAGGAGCUACACACAUGCUCUUUUUUAAUGGUUGGGGUUGGAAACAAUUUUUUGUAUGUGUAUUUUAGACAUAAGGUCAAUGGCAUGGGCUUCUUUUGAAAUGACUGGCUAGUUCUCCAGAUAAUCACUUUUUAGGAAAGUUAGGCAACACCAUUUUGUUGGUAAAUUCAAACUUGCCCAAAUCACUGUCUGCAAGAAAGUUUUGGUUAAAAAAGCCUUGGCUUGGAAAUGUGUGUCAGUCUGGGAUGAAAAUUCAGCUCAACAUGGGUGGAAAUGGGGAAGAGCUUAGCCGUUGCUUCAGCUUCUAUUUUAAGAUCUGGGGUAAUGUGGUGGUAAUAGUUGCAUAAAGGUUGAGCUAAUAUAUUAGGGUCAUCUAGACCAGAAUUAACCAGAUUAAUUAAUCAGAAGGUUAAUCUGUUCAGGUGCCUGCUGUAAACAUGAAGCAAUUGACUUUUCAUGGUUUGUCUCUGCCAUUUUUCCUUGUGUCAGCAGUCUUUUGCUGUUUUUCCUCGAUGUUUUUAAAAGCACUUAGCUUUUGUCCUGGUGCAGAACAGGAAAGCUUGAAAGCUUGAAAAUAUUAAUGGAAUGAAAUAAUUGUUUUCCUCUCAGCUCUCGUAUGCAGUUCUUUAGUUCUGGAUUAUGAUGGGAGACAAAUUAGUAAAGUAAGGUCAGUUACAGAAGUUGUUUAUAAGCCUGUUGGGAGGUCAGAAGGUGUUACAAGAGGAAAAGAC